rnacentral:rRNA from 1 species
UGGGGAAUUUUGCGCAAUGGGGGAAACCCUGACGCAGCAACGCCGCGUGAGUGAUGAAGGCCCUUGGGUCGUAAAGCUCUGACAGAGGGAAAGAAAUGCAGGGGAGCUAAUAUCUCCCUUGCUUGACGGUACCCUCAAAGGAAGCACCGGCUAACUCCGUGCCAGCAGCCGCGGUAAUACGGGGGGUGCAAGCGUUGUUCGGAUUUAUUGGGCGUAAAGCGCGUGUAGGCGGUUUUAUAAGUCUGAUGUGAAAGCCCUGGGCUCAACCCGGGAAGUGCAUUGGAUACUGUAAGACUUGAAUACGGGAGAGGGCAGUGGAAUUCCUAGUGUAGGAGUGAAAUCCGUAGAUAUUAGGAGGAACACCGGUGGCGAAGGCGGCUGCCUGGACCGAUAUUGACGCUGAGACGCGAAAGCGUGGGUAGCAAACAGG